rnacentral:rRNA from 1 species
UACGUAGGGGCUAGCGUUAUCCGGAAUUACUGGGCGUAAAGGGAGCGUAGGCGGCCGAUUAAGUUGGAUGUGAAAUCCCCGGGCUUAACUUGGGUGGUGCAUCCAAUACUGGUUGGCUAGAGUACAGGAGAGGAAAGCGGAAUUCCUGGUGUAGCGGUGAAAUGCAUAGAUAUCAGGAGGAACAUCGGUGGCGAAGGCGGCUUUCUGGACUGACACUGACGCUGAGGCUCGAAAGCGUGGGGAGCAAACAGGAUUAGAUACCCUGGUAGU